GCCAGCAUAGUGCAUUGGCCUGAAUGUUGGAUUAAGACUCUGGAGACCAGGGUUCGAAUCCCUGCUUGGGUG